rnacentral:rRNA from 1 species
CUGCCGGCGACCGGCGCACGGGUGAGUAACACGUAUGAAACCUGCCCGUAGCAGGGGGAUAAGCGGAAGAAAUUCCGUCUAAUACCGCGUAACAACCCGAGGAGGCAUCUCCUCGGGUUUAAAGGAAGCGAUUCCGGCUACGGAUGGUCAUGCGUCGCAUUAGCUAGUUGGCGGGGUAACGGCCCACCAAGGCGACGAUGCGUAGGGGUUCUGAGAGGAAGGUCCCCCACACUGGUACUGAGACACGGACCAGACUCCUACGGGAGGCAGCAG